rnacentral:rRNA from 1 species
GAUGAACGCUGGCGGCGUGCCUAAUACAUGCAAGUCGAGCGAAUGGAUUAAGAGCUUGCUCUUAUGAAGUUAGCGGCGGACGGGUGAGUAACACGUGGGUAACCUGCCCAUAAGACUGGGAUAACUCCGGGAAACCGGGGCUAAUACCGGAUAAUAUUUUGAACUGCAUGGUUCAAAAUUGAAAGGCGGCUUCGGCUGUCACUUAUGGAUGGACCAGCGUCGCAUUAGCUAGUUGGUGAGGUAACGGCUCACCAAGGCAACGAUGCGUAGCCGACCUGGGAGGGUGAUCGGCCACAAUGGGACUGAGACACGGCCCAGACUCCUACGGGAGGCAGCAGUAGGGAAUCUUCCGCAAUGGACGAAAGUCUGACGGAGCAACGCCGCGUGAGUGAUGAAGGCUUUCGGGUCGUAAAACUCUGUUGUUAGGGAAGAACAAGUGCUAGUUGAAUAAGCUGGCACCUUGACGGUACCUAACCAGAAAGCCACGGCUAACUACGUGCCAGCCGCCGCAGUAA